rnacentral:lncRNA from 1 species
CAUUGCCCUCUGGCCCGCAGCCUGCCUGUUCCCAGGCCAGCGAGGGCGCUCCCAGGCCCGUCUGCAGCCAGAACACAGCCCGUUCCAUGUGCUUGUCCCCAGGACACAUUAGGAAUGAAUCCAGGUCUCAGUCCUGGCCUCCUCCCCGAGGCUGGGCGCUCAGGCGUCCCCUUCAGCCCCUUUCUCUAGACUUUCCGGCUGAACAAACGAAAACAUCUCAUAGCCCUGCAACAGCUAGGAGCGGCUCGUGGAGCUCCACGCCCGGCUGGAGAGAGAGGAGGCGCCCUGGGCAGCCCGCCAGCACCCGGGCUCUCACAACGGAAGCCCACAUCUUCUUGGGCUCUAUUUUGAAAGCUGUUCUUUCCACAAUGGCUUUGACAAGAAUCGAUUUGAGUGAGCCAGCGUGUCAAUACAGGCCAGCACAGGACUGGCCUCAGGGCCACACUGGGGAGGGUGCCGACAAGGCCCUGGCUGCAGCCCACGUGGGCAAAAGCAUGGCCAGGCAGGAGGUGGGGCCUGUGAACUUGGCUACAACGACCGUGGGCGCUGGGCUCGGGGCUCCUCAGCCUUGAGCGGGGGACCCAGGCCCAGGCAGGCUCCCAGCCUCCCGAUCUUCUCCCUUUGAGACCUCGCCUUCUGCACAGUGACAGGAAAGAGCCCUGAGUCCCACUUUGCAGGGAUGUAUUGCAUUUCCAGAAAGUUCCUUCCGGGUGCAGAGUGAUACGUGAACCCUGGGGACUCGUUCCAACUUGGUAUUGAUUUUCUCCACGGAAGACCCAGCAGUCACGGCCCGUGUCUGCACAGCCCCUUGGAUCCUGCGGAGGAAUUCAGCCAGCCCCUCCCCGUGCCGAAAACCACGGAGCCAAAGUCAGGCCGGGGUACAGUGAGAACACGGGAGAGGACUGAGAGACCGCCGAGGGAGGCAGAGCGGGAUUCGCACCCCCGUCAUCGCUGGGCCCACACGCCGCCGACAGCUUCCGCGUGUGGCCAUCUGUCUUUCAGAAACCCUCUGGCAGAGGGACCCAGCAGAUGACACGGGGGCCGUUCACACUCUGAAACCUGCUUGGAGUCAAAACACUGCUGGCGAGCCUCCGUGGCAAACCCAACCCAGACGGUCUUCCCUGGUGGCCCUUGGGGUGGUGGGCACCCUGCCCACUCCCUGCCAGCCCCUGCCUGCUGGACUCCAAGCCCGGCCGGGCCCCUGACCGGUCUCCUGACCCAGCACGCUGCUCCCCCUUGGGCCGGGCUUCCCCGCUCGCUAGGACUCCCAGGCCCCUCCAGCCCAGCCCUGAGAGCAGAAGCCCCAAGGGAGGCUUGGCGGCUACGGAGGCGAGUGGGCCACGUGUAGCCGGGAGGCCAGCAGGACCAGGAACACUUCGCGGCGCAGCACCCACAGCAUCACGAGCCACUUCCACUCCCUGGGUGGCCUGGGGGGCCCCACCCCGCUCUGAGCUGCCCCUUGUUGUGACCUGGGGCCCCCUGUGGUGGGCCCGCCCCUUGCCCCUGGGAUCCAGCCUCAGCGAGGCUCCAGAAGUGUCGUCUCUGCCGGCCAGGCGUCAGCGCCUCCACCCAGGAUCACACACUACUAUCUCUGCACUUCUGCCCUCUGUCCUGCUCCACGCCGCCUCUGCUUGUUAUUUUGGCACAUUCCAGGGUGAUGCCUGCUGGAGCCACGCAGCCAGUGCCUCCACCCUACCGCUGACAUGACAUACCGGCCCCUUCCGCAUGCUGGAAGCCUGCCCGGCCUGAAGUGUCCUCACCUGUCGCCCUAUCCUCCCCUCCACCCCAGCCCACCAGUGACUCAGCCCCGAAACCCUCACAGCUCUCUCCUCCCCGAGGGAACCUGUGACUUGGCUCUGAUGGUGCCGGGACCCAGCCCCGGCAUGUUCAGAAUCCUUGUCCUUUAACCUGCGUCCACCUGUGGUCGCCGCCACCUCCCUGCCUGAACCUCCAGGCCCUGCGGAGCAAACACUGCUGCCUUCAGGAGACCCCUGGGGCCUUCUCCGUCCCCUCAUCCUCCUAAGGAGCCUCCCCCGCCACCGCACCAGAAUGUGCCAGAGGAACAGAGGCCCGAGCCUCCCGUGGCCCCAGCGAGGCUUCCUCUGGGGAAGACAGUGAGCCCAACGCCCUGGCUCUCGAGGGGUGGACGGAGUCCAGCUGGCAUCGACCGGGUGCCCCUCUCCACCGGUUUCCACAGUCCUUGAGAGCAAAGGGUCCCCAAAGGCAACCUCCCUCCUGCACAGGCAUUUGUCACCCUUACCCUCUAGGACAUCUUUGCCAUGUGCAGUGAACCCCUGGACAAUGUUGCAUGCCACUUCGCCGGAUUUGGGCGGUAUACAGACCGAAGCAUGUGGUAUGAAGCCUUCUGCUGUCAGCCAGUUCCUUGUCCCUCGACAGUAUGUGUCCAGGCUGCCCUUCAAGGUGGCAGUGACGGCAGUUGUCUCUUGCACGUUGCGUACGGUUCUGUCACUGACUCUUACACACAGCCCUGGAGACGGGAGAGUGCUGGGAGCAUUCUAUGCAAGUGUCCUGGCCUGUGCGGGUGUCUCCAUAGCAUAAACACGAGCCGGGGACCACCCCCUCUUCUGCUUCCAUGAUUCCACCAACUGGGUGGGGCAGAGCGGUGCCAGGGCCAGAGGCAUGCCCCGGGUGAGGGCAGGUGGCCAUGCCAGUGAGUGCACUGCGUUCUCAGUUAAUUUAUCCUACAUAUUUCUAAGUUUCUUGAUGAUCGCAGUUGCAGCCCCAAGAGAAUGCCCCCCUCACCAAGUAGAAGGCACAUGUGCUCUGAUGGUCCCUCCCACACUGGGGUCAGGGCACAGCACCGUAGCGAGGCGGCGUGGAGUCUCAGAGGACCUCGGACAACGCUCGGCACAUGGGGCUUCUCCAGCCAGCCAGGGGAAAGCACCCUGCAGACUGCUAACUUUUGCAAAAUAGAGUAAAAAAGAUCAGCUAGAAAAAUAAAACAAAAAAGGAAAGAUAUACAAAA